AGAGUAGUUAUAGAGGUUAUAGAGGGAGUAGUUAUAAGAGGUUAUAGAGGGUGUAGUUAUAGAGGUUAUAGAGGGAGUAGUUAUAGAGGUUAUAGAGGGAGUAGUUAUAGAGGUUAUAGAGGGUGUAGUUAUAGAGGUUAUAGAGGGUGUAGAGGGUGUAGUUAUAGAGGUUAUAGAGGGAGUAGUUAUAGAGGUUAUAGAGGAGUAGUUAUAGAGGUUAUAGAGGGAGUAGUUAUAGAGGUUAUAGAGGGAGUAGUUAUAGAGGUUAUAGAGGGAGUAGUUAUAGAGGUUAUAGAGGGAGUAGUUAUAGAGGUUAUAGAGGGAGUGGUUAUAGAGGGUAUAGGUUAUAGAGGGAGUAGUUAUAGAGGUUAUAGAGGGAGUAGUUAUAGAGGUUAUAGAGGGUGUAGUUAUAGAGGUUAUAGAGGGUAGUAGAGGUUAUAGAGGGAGUAGUUAUAGAGGUUAUAGAGGGAGUAGUUAUAGAGGUUAUAGAGGGAGUAGUUAUAGUAGUUAUAGAGGUUAUAGAGGGAGUAGUUAUAUAG
ensembl:lncRNA